CGAGUCCUACGGGACGCAGCAGUAGGGAAUUUUCGUCAAUGGGCGCAAGCCUGAACGAGCAAUGCCGCGUGAACGAGGAAGGUCUUCGGAUCGUAAAGUUCUGUUGAAGGGGAAAAAGAGCGGAGAGAGGAAAUGGUCUCCGAUUGAUAUUACCCUUCGAGGCAGUCACGGCUAACUACGUGCCAGCAGCCGCGGUAAUACGUAGGUGGCGAGCGUUAUCCGGAAUGAUUGGGCGUAAAGGGUGCGUAGGCGGCCUGCUAAGUCUGGAGUGAAAGGGACCGGCUCAACCG
rnacentral:rRNA from 1 species